AAUAAAUCAAUAUUUUACUUUUUACCUACAAUGUUUGACUUUUCAUUUUACUUGAAAAAAAUUAUGAUUAAUAUUUUUAUUUUUAUUAGAUGAUAAAUCGUAAAUAAUAUUUUACGUGUGACUAAUUCUUUUAUAAUUUCUUGAAAAUUUUUCAAAUAAAACGGAUAAUCAAACACUGGACACGGAAACCAAAG
rnacentral:pre_miRNA from 1 species